rnacentral:lncRNA from 1 species
AAUUUUCAGAUGAAUCGGACAACCUGUUGUUGGGUUGCUGCCCCUGAAUUGGUAAUUUUAAGGAAAUUUUGCUGUUUUUGGUUAUUAUCUUGAAUAUUAUUAUAGAUAGAGAUAAACUGUAAACAGCAAUAAUGUUCAGCAAAGUAAGAUUUACAAAUAAGUCAACAUGACCGAAAUGGUCAGUUGACCCCUUUAGGAGUUAUUGCCCUUUAUAGUCAAUUUUUAACCAUUUUUCUUAAAUCUUAGUAAUCUUUUACAAAAAUCUUCUCCUCUGAAACUACUGGGCCAAAUUAAUCCAGAGUUGGCCACAAUCAUCAUUGGGGUAUCUAGUUUAAAAAAUGUGUCCGGUGACCCGGCCAACUAACCAAGAUGGCUGCCACGCCUAAAAAUAGAACAUAGGGGUAAAAUGCAGUUUUUGGCUUAUAACUCAAAAACCAAAGCAUUUAGAGCAAAUCUGACAGGGUAAAACAAAUUAUCGGGUCAAGAUCUAUCUGCCCUGAAAUUUUCAAAUGAAUCAGACAACCUGUUGUUGGGUUGCUGCCC